rnacentral:rRNA from 1 species
GAUGAACGCUGGCGGCGUGCCUAAUACAUGCAAGUCGAGCGAACAGACGAGGAGCUUGCUCCUCUGACGUUAGCGGCGGACGGGUGAGUAACACGUGGAUAACCUACCUAUAAGACUGGGAUAACUUCGGGAAACCGGAGCUAAUACCGGAUAAUAUAUUGAACCGCAUGGUUCAAUAGUGAAAGACGGUUUUGCUGUCACUUAUAGAUGGAUCCGCGCCGCAUUAGCUAGUUGGUAAGGUAACGGCUUACCAAGGCAACGAUGCGUAGCCGACCUGAGAGGGUGGUCGGCCACACUGGAACUGAGACACGGUCCAGACUCCUGCGGGAGGCAGCAGUAGGGAAUCUUCCGCAAUGGGCGAAAGCCUGACGGAGCAACGCCGCGUGAGUGAUGAAGGUCUUCGGAUCGUAAAACUCUGUUAUUAGGGAAGAACAAAUGUGUAAGUAACUAUGCACGUCUUGACGGUACCUAAUCAGAAAGCCACGGCUAACUACGUG